rnacentral:rRNA from 1 species
UUGGAAGUUAAAAAUCGUAACAAGGUCUCCGUUGGUGAACCAGCGGAGGGAUCAUUACCGAGUUUUCAACUCCCUAACCCUUCUGUGAACCUACCUAUCGUUGCUUCGGCGGACUCGCCCCAGCCCGGACGCGGACUGGACCAGCGGCCCGCCGGGGACCUCAAACUCUUGUAUUCCAGCAUCUUCUGAAUACGCCGCAAGGCAAAACAAAUGAAUCAAAACUUUCAACAACGGAUCUCUUGGCUCUGGCAUCGAUGAAGAACGCAGCGAAACGCGAUAAGUAAUGUGAAUUGCAGAAUCCAGUGAAUCAUCGAAUCUUUGAACGCACAUUGCGCCCGCCAGCAUUCUGGCGGGCAUGCCUGUUCGAGCGUCAUUUCAACCCUCGACCUCCCCUUGGGGGGGUCGGCGUUGGGGACCGGCAGCACACCGCCGGCCCUGAAAUGGAGUGGCGGCCCGUCCGCGGCGACCUCUGCGCAGUAAUACAGCUCGCACCGGAACCCCGACGCGGCCACGCCGUAAAACACCCAACUUCUGAACGUUGACCUCGAAUCAGGUAGGACUACCCGCUGAACUUAAGCAUAUCAAUAGGCCGG